CCCCUGGUGGUCCACAGUGGUUAAGACUCUGAGCUCCCAAUUCAGGGGGCCCAGGUUUGAUCCCUGGUCAGGGAA
rnacentral:tRNA from 1 species